GCGUGCAGUGAUGGUUAACCAUCUUUCGGGUCUGAUUAUGAUGAAACCGAUUUUUGCUGAGCACGC
rnacentral:snoRNA from 1 species